rnacentral:rRNA from 1 species
AGUGAACGCUGGCGGUAGGCCUAACACAUGCAAGUCGAACGGCAGCACAGUAAGAGCUUGCUCUUACGGGUGGCGAGUGGCGGACGGGUGAGGAAUACAUCGGAAUCUACUUUUUCGUGGGGGAUAACGUAGGGAAACUUACGCUAAUACCGCAUACGACCUACGGGUGAAAGCAGGGGAUCUUCGGACCUUGCGCGAUUGAAUGAGCCGAUGUCGGAUUAGCUAGUUGGCGGGGUAAAGGCCCACCAAGGCGACGAUCCGUAGCUGGUCUGAGAGGAUGAUCAGCCACACUGGAACUGAGACACGGUCCAGACUCCUACGGGAGGCAGCAGUGGGGAAUAUUGGACAAUGGGCGAAAGCCUGAUCCGGCCAUACCGCGUGGGUGAAGAAGGCCUUCGGGUUGUAAAGCCCUUUUGUUGGGAAAGAAAAGCAGCAGGUUAAUACCCCGCUGUUCUGACGGUACCCAAAGAAUAAGCACCGGCUAACUUCGUG